UACCACCUACACGACGUAAGCCCUGCCUCUCAAACGUCCUUGCGGUUCCAAGCCCGCGCCAGCUGGAGUAAGUGAAUUCAUGAUUGG
rnacentral:sRNA from 1 species